GCGCGAAACCUCCGCAAUGCACGGAAGUGCGACGGGGGGACCCCAAGUGCCACUCUUAACGGGGUGGCUUUUCUUGAGUGUAAAAAGCUUUGGAAUAAGGGUGG
rnacentral:rRNA from 1 species